UGGUCUUUUCUUGAAUCUAGGACUAAUUGA
rnacentral:piRNA from 1 species